CCUACGGGAUGCAGCAGUGAGGAAUAUUGGUCAAUGGCCGGAAGGCUGAACCAGCCAAGCCGCGUGAGGGAAGACGGCCCUACGGAUUGUAAACCUCUUUUGUCAGGGGACAAAAAGAGUCACGUGUGACUCAUUGAGAGUACCCGAAGAAAAAGCAUCGGCUAACUCCGUGCCAGCAGCCGCGGUAAUACGGAGGAUGCGAGCGUUAUCCGGAUUUAUUGGGUUUAAAGGGUGCGCAGGCGGAGGGGCAAGUCAGCGGUAAAAUUGCGGGGCUCAACCCCGUACUGCCGUUGAAACUGCAUGCCUUGAGUGCGCGAGAGGUAUGCGGAAUGCGUGGUGUAGCGGUGAAAUGCAUAGAUAUCACGCAGAACUCCGAUUGCGAAGGCAGCAUACCGGCGCGCAACUGACGCUCAUGCACGAAAGCGUGGGUAUCGAACAGGAUUAGAUACCCGUGUAGUC
rnacentral:rRNA from 1 species